AGAUAGAUAUAGAUAUAGAUAUAGAUAUACAGAUAUAUAGAUGUAGAUAUAGAAUAUAGGAUUUCGUUAUAUAUUUAUAGAAGUUAUAGAUGAUAAAUUACUUCUGGCUCGUCUCUCAUAAACCGACCUGAUCAACAAGAGCAGAAGAGAACGACAAACAACUUCCUUCACAUAUAGAAGAUCGAUUUAUGGAAGCUCUUAGGUUCUAGAUAUCGUCUGUCACAUCACCACCAGGAACCCAAGCCCGAAGAACUCAGCCCCAAUCGGCAAUCAAGCGCGUCAACCCUUCUUGGUAACACCGGACAACUCUCUGUUGGUUCAGGAAACUGGUAAAAGAAACAAUGAUUUCAUAUGCGGAAGUGACAGAUAUCAGCUUCCUUACCUUUGUGUUAUCUCUCGGAAACUCCCGUAGUGAGUGGGUAAUCGGCAGUCUCUUAUGUAAUGCUUAUAUUCUUAUUCCAACUCUAGCUCGAUUAAAACCAUAUCCCUCUCAUUAUCUUUUUACUUGAUCCUUCUCAUUCUUAUCUGCAUGACUGUGAGCUGAGUUGUAAUAUCUUAAUGCUAUAUUAAUUGCAUUAUUGCCGCUUUCAUCUUUUGCUCUCUUGUGAAGAAUUGAUACGAGAUUGAUGGAAUAAUACAAGAUCUUUUCGAGAGCU